UCGUAGAUCCAACACGCAUUUCUCCUCAUUUCCAGAUCCAAAAUCCUUUCCACCUCAUUUCUCCUCCCCUCCCCUCUCUCUCUCAAAAUGGGAUUCGAAACUUCAAACGGCACCGCAUCUACAAAACCACUUAAAUUCCUCAUCUACGGGCGCACUGGCUGGAUCGGUGGACUCCUAGGCAAGCUUUGCCAAUCCCAGGGCAUCGACUUCACCUACGGUUCCGGUCGCCUUGAAAACCGACCCUCCCUCGAAGCCGACGUUGCUGCUGUCAAUCCCACUCAUGUUUUCAACGCUGCCGGCGUCACUGGCAGGCCUAACGUCGACUGGUGCGAGUCCCAUAAGGUCGAGACCAUAAGAACCAAUGUGGUCGGCACGCUGACGUUGGCUGAUGUGUGCAGGGAGAAAGGUUUGGUCUUGAUCAAUUAUGCUACUGGUUGUAUCUUUGAGUAUGACUCGAGUCAUCCUCUCG
rnacentral:lncRNA from 1 species